UUAGACUUAGCGGCGGACGGGUGAGUAACGCGUGGGUAACCUGCCUUACACUGGGGGAUAACAGUUAGAAAUGACUGCUAAUACCGCAUAAGCACACAGGGCCGCAUGGUCCGGUGUGAAAAACUCCGGUGGUGUAAGAUGGACCCGCGUCUGAUUAGGUAGUUGGUGGGGUAACGGCCCACCAAGCCGACGAUCAGUAGCCGACCUGAGAGGGUGACCGGCCACAUUGGGACUGAGACACGGCCCAA
rnacentral:rRNA from 1 species